rfam:Rattus norvegicus chromosome 4, whole genome shotgun sequence.
GGGGAUUUAGCUCAGUGGUAGAGCGCUUGCCUAGCAAGUGGAAGGCCCUGGGUUCGGUCCCCAGCUCCG